rnacentral:rRNA from 1 species
CCUACGGGAGGCAGCAGUGAGGAAUAUUGGUCAAUGGGCGGAAGCCUGAACCAGCCAAGUAGCGUGCAGGAUGACGGCCCUAUGGGUUGUAAACUGCUUUUAUGCGGGGAUAACCGGGGCCACGCGUGGCCCCCUGCAGGUACCGCAUGAAUAAGGACCGGCUAAUUCCGUGCCAGCAGCCGCGGUAAUACGGAAGGUCCGGGCGUUAUCCGGAUUCAUUGGGUUUAAAGGGAGCGUAGGCCGUGGAUUAAGCGUGUUGUGAAAUGUAGGCGCUCAACGUCUGACUUGCAGCGCGAACUGGUCCACUUGAGUGUGCGCGACGCAGGCGGAAUUCGUGGUGUAGCGGUGAAAUGCUUAGAUAUCACGAGGAACCCCGAUUGCGAAGGCAGCUUGCGGGAGCACCACUGACGC